rnacentral:lncRNA from 1 species
AUUUUUUUCUUUUCCCAGACAUUCAUAUUAACAGUAUAUUUUAAUCCCUGUGUAGUUCACUAUCAAAUGUUUCAGUACCAAAGACAUAAUUAAAAAAAAAAAAAUUAAACACCACUAGCCUGAUAAACUUGCUCUGGCUGUAUCUCCAGCGUCAGUUUACCAAACCAUAGACAGACUAAGCAACAAUCAGUCAGCAGUCACCUCUAUAGGCAUUUUUAGUUGCAGUAAUGCUAGCGAAUCUGCUGUCUAAAAUCGUUUUUAUAGAAAAAAGGGACUGUCUCGCGGGCUUCCUCUAUCGGCGGCUCAUUUUCAGCUCUCCAUAAACCGGCUCUGGUGGCGCUCUGAGGUCACGUGGGGUCGCUCGGCCAAUCCGGUUCAGGCUCAAUUCUCAAUUAGCAAUUUUGGGUGCGGUAGCAGGAGCUAAUCUCACUCAUUAGGGGAACUUUCCAGAUCCAGGAGCUAAACUUCACUCAGGGCUUCGGGACAGAUAAGAGGUGUGUGGAUCUGAAGCAGCAGAAUCAGCACACUGUAAAUAAUCAGUUUUGUAUUUUGCCGGCUGCAGGAAUCACAAACAGACUGACAAAACAACUGCCUGGAUAUGGACUGAUAUCAUCGUGCAUGCCUACGUUUGUGUAUUGAUUUGAAAAUCAGCUAAAGAGCAGGACAUAAUAAAAUGCCUCAGGCCUUGUCCAAGUUUCGGCAGCCUGUGAAUCGGCCUGUCUCAGUGACUGCUGAUGAAGUGCAGAGGAAAAGACAGAGGUGCAACACCUGUAAAAAGUAUAAGCCUCAUGAAAAGCUCCCACCUAUAGCUGGGAGAACCCCGUAUCUGCCACAUUCAGAGGAGGAGGACUGGGAGAAGGAGAUUGAAGAAUUUUCACACAGGGUGAAACAGGAGAAGAUGAAGGAGAUGCCCUAUGAUCCUGAGGAUGAGUUGAAAGUGGCCAUGGAUGAAAUGACCCUGUAUGCUGUCCCCAGAGCCCCCAUGCCUAACCAGGACCACUACAGCCCCUCCAAACACCACGUUCCUCCUGUCAAGUGGACCCGCUACAUCUACACCAAAGUGCCGGACCAGUUCAAAGAUGCUGAGGAAUAAAGGUCACGUCCUGUUUUUUUUGGUGCAGCUGCUCUCAUUUUACCAGAUCAACUAAGCAAGCAGUUAUGUUCUGAACAUUUUAGACUGGAAAUGGAUUAUGGAAUUAUUAGUUUUGGUAGAAGUUCUUUAAAGCACUUUAAUCUGUUUUAUAUUGUUUUAAUUUAGUAAAUUCUGUCCUCCUUAGGAUUGAAUACUAGGAUUAAUUGCAAUAGGUUUGUUGAUUCGUAAUGGGCAUUGGGGCAUUCUUCUGUUGUUUCCUUUGGCGGUUUCUACAAAUCAUUCACUUUAAUAAAAUCAGUCAUGUUUGUUUGGAGGAGUUAAUG